ACGCUCGACACCUACGGGAGACAGCAGUGGGGAAUAUUGCACAAUGGGGGAAACCCUGAUGCAGCAACGCCGCGUGAAGGAAGACGGUUUUCGGAUUGUAAACUUCUGUUCUUAGUGAAGAUAGCGACGGUAGCUAAGGAGCAAGCCACGGCUAACUACGUGCUAGCAGCCGCGGUAAUCUGAGCGGGCUGGCAAGGC
rnacentral:rRNA from 1 species